AUAUCUCUCCGUACGGGAAGGAUGAGAAGCUUCGACUAAGGUUCGAUUCGAGCGAAAGCGAGAAAGCGUUGCCAACGGCAACGACCCGAAG
rnacentral:sRNA from 1 species